CUUUUCUCAAGGAACUGCACGUGGCAUCGUUGUGUACACUGGGGAUCGCACCGUGAUGGGCAGGAUCGCCACCCUUGCUUCUGGGCUGGAAGGCGGCCAGACCCCCAUUGCUGAAGAAAUCGAGCACUUCAUCCACCUCAUCACGGGUGUGGCCGUGUUCCUGGGGGUGUCUUUCUUCAUUCUCUCUCUGAUCCUUGAGUACACCUGGUUCGCUCUGUCCAGAAUUGCUGGUCUCUGUAACAGGGCAGUGUUUCAGGCUAACCAAGAAAACCUGCCUAUCCUUAAGCGUGCAGUAGCGGGAGAUGCUUCCGAGUCGGCGCUCUUAAAGUGCAUCGAGGUCUGCUGUGGCUCCGUGAUGGA
rnacentral:lncRNA from 1 species